GGACAAAACCCCUGGAUGGGAAAAAUCAGUGAGCAGUAGCAGCAGCGAGUUUCACCUCAGGGAGUUAUCGACACAUGUUCUCCUAAGCAGUGAAAGGGGUGCAGAAGGACUGGCCUUCAAACUCUCCAGAGUGCCAGGUCAAGAUGAAGUUGUUAAAAACUAAGUCUGGAGAUACAAAAGAUGCCAGACUAAAUUCAAACCCACCCUUAAUAGUGGCUUGUCAGUUUUGCUGGCAAAUCCUCCAGGAGGAAAAAGAGAGACAAGGCUUAAGGAAGAUUUUUAGAUCAAUACACGGCAACUGAGGAAGGU